rnacentral:rRNA from 1 species
UACAGAGGUCCCAAGCGUUGUUCGGAUUCACUGGGCGUAAAGGGUGCGCAGGUGGUUUGGCAAGUUUGACGUGAAAGCCCCGGGCUUAACCCGGGAAUGGCGUUGAAAACUGCUUGAACUGGAGGAUUGGAGGGGGGACUGGAAUUCUUGGUGUAGCAGUGAAAUGCGUAGAUAUCAAGAGGAACACCAGUGGCGAAGGCGAGUCUCUGGGCCGAUACUGACGCUGAGGAGCGAAAGCGUGGGGAGCGAACAGG